rnacentral:rRNA from 1 species
UACGUAGGGUGCAAGCGUUUAAUCGGAAUUACUGGGCGUAAAGCGUGCGCAGGCGGUUCUAUAAGACAGAUGUGAAAUCCCCGGGCUCAACCUGGGAACUGCAUUUGUGACUGUAGAGCUGGAGUGCGGCAGAGGGGGAUGGAAUUCCGCGUGUAGCAGUGAAAUGCGUAGAUAUGCGGAGGAACACCGAUGGCGAAGGCAGCCCUCUGGGCCAACACUGACGCUCAGGCACGAAAGCGUGGGGAGCAAACAGG